rnacentral:rRNA from 1 species
AUUGAACGCUGGCGGCAGGCUUAACACAUGCAAGUCGAGCGGGGGAAGGUAGCUUGCUACCGGACCUAGCGGCGGACGGGUGAGUAAUGCUUAGGAAUCUGCCUAUUAGUGGGGGACAACAUCUCGAAAGGGAUGCUAAUACCGCAUACGUCCUACGGGAGAAAGCAGGGGAUCUUCGGACCUUGCGCUAAUAGAUGAGCCUAAGUCGGAUUAGCUAGUUGGUGGGGUAAAGGCCUACCAAGGCGACGAUCUGUAGCGGGUCUGAGAGGAUGAUCCGCCAAACUGGGACUGAGACACGGCCCAGACUCCUACGGGAGGCAGCAGUGGGGAAUAUUGGACAAUGGGGGGAACCCUGAUCCAGCCAUGCCGCGUGUGUGAAGAAGGCCUUAUGGUUGUAAAGCACUUUAAGCGAGGAGGAGGCUACUCUAGUUAAUACCUAGGGAUAGUGGACGUUACUCGCAGAAUAAGCACCGGCUAUCUCUGUGCCAGCAGCCGCCGUAA